rnacentral:lncRNA from 1 species
GCCGGACGCCCAGGGGAGGGGUGCAGCUGGUAGGGCCCGAACACACUGGUGGUAACCCGAGGACUAGGCGACUUGCCAAUUCUAAAGAACGCUGCUUUUCCUGUGCCCAGUUCCCUCACUCUUACUGGACUUGAACGAAUGAGAACAUCAUCGAGCACCAAAUAAUAAUGAUUUAAAAAUCAUGGGAACAAACAGUGAUAAAAAUGAUACUAUUUGUGGAGGAUCUGUGGGUCUGUUUUUUUUACAAGGAGUAUUUCAUUUGAUUCUCAUCUGAUUUUGUAAGGAAAUUACAAUUACUGUGUUUCUAGCCGGGCAAUGAUCUGCAGGACGUGAGAACUUGUUAGAAAUGCUAAUUCUCAGCCCAUCCAGCCUCCACUGACUUAUAUAUGCUGGGAGGCAAAGUCAAGCCCUUGGUGUUUAACAAGCCCUCCUUGGGGGGGCUGACGCAUGUUCAAGUUUGAGAACCACUGUUUUCAGUACUGCUUUGUAUCCCCGAGUGUGAACUUGAGCGGUUCCCCGUGGCAACUGCUCAAUAACAUACCUUUCUGGGGCCUCCUUCCUUUCCUUGUUUCACAUCUUUACUCUUCAGCUGGGCCUUCCUGGGAUCACCUCCAAACAACUACUUGCAUUUGAAUCCUUGCCUCAAGUCUGCUUCCAGAGAACACCAUCUGAGAGAUCUGCAGGGGAAGUGUGGUUGCCCAGAGAGGAGGAGGAAAGUGGCUGGCAGGAUACCCAGGGACAGUAGGAGACUGAGUCAGAUAUCGCAAGC